rnacentral:tRNA from 1 species
UGAAAUGUAGCCCAGUGAUAGAGCACUUGGCUAGUAUGUGUGAGGAACUGGGUUCAGUCCCCAGCACUUCAA